UACAGAGGUCCCAAGCGUUGUUCGGAUUCACUGGGCGUAAAGGGUGCGUAGGUGGUUGAGCAAGUCUAACGUGAAAUCUCCAAGCUCAACUUGGAAUGUGCGUCGGAUACUGUUUAGCUUGAGGAAUGAAGGGGAGACUGGAAUUCUCGGUGUAGCAGUGAAAUGCGUAGAUAUCGAGAGGAACACCAGUGGCGAAAGCGAGUCUCUGGACAUUUCCUGACACUGAGGCACGAAAGCCAGGGGAUCAAACGGG
rnacentral:rRNA from 1 species